CUCCUACGGGGGGCAGCAGUGGGGAAUAUUGCACAAUGGGGGGAACCCUGAUGCAGCGACGCCGCGUGAGGGAAGAAGUAUCUCGGGACGUAAAGCUCUAUCAGCAGGGAAGAAAAUGACGGUACCUGACUAAGAAGCCCCGGCUAACUGCGUGCCAGCAGCCGCGGUAAUACGUAGGGGGCAAGCGUUAUCCGGAGUUACUGGGUGUAAAGGGAGCGUAGAGGGCACUGCAAGUCCGAGGUGAAAGCUCAAGGCUUAAGCAU
rnacentral:rRNA from 1 species